rnacentral:snRNA from 1 species
AUACUUACCUAGCAGGGGAGAUACCAUGAUCACGAAGGUGGUUUUCCCAGGGCAAGGCUUAUCCAUUGCACUAUUAAUGUUCUAAAUAAAACUCUAUCUUAGACAAGAUACCAAUGUUCUUGUUAU